rnacentral:lncRNA from 1 species
GCUUCAAACCAGCAAUCAGACCACCUUGAUUUCCAUCAGGGUAGCUUCCUCUUUCUGGAAAUUAGGUGCAUUCCAGGGCUUCCGGAGAUGUCUCUUUAAAGUGGAAAAUUACCUUUGUGUCAGUCCCUACACGGUGAUGAGUUAGCACCUUAAUGGAGGUACAGUGGUUAAGGGCAACUCUGAGUCAGUCUUCACCCUCAUCCUCAUCACAUGACCCAGGGGAGAUGCUGUUUCUGUCCUUUGGAAAUAUACAAGGUUUGAAGCCAGGUGUGCACAUCACAGAUAUCAUGACCUUGCUGCAGGAGAAAUGAAGUAAGGAAACCUCAUCCUGUUUCUCUGUGAUUGUCCAACACUGAAAUUGUCUAAUAUUGUCCUGGACAUUCAUACUGGACAACACUAACCAAAGCAAACAGGAACAUCAGGCCUUCCCACUUGUAUCCACAUAA